rnacentral:rRNA from 1 species
UACGGAGGGAGCUAGCGUUGUUCGGAAUUACUGGGCGUAAAGCGCACGUAGGCGGCUUUGUAAGUUAGAGGUGAAAGCCCGGGGCUCAACUCCGGAACUGCCUUUAAGACUGCAUCGCUUGAAUCCAGGAGAGGUGAGUGGAAUUCCGAGUGUAGAGGUGAAAUUCGUAGAUAUCGAGAGGAACACCGGUGGCGAAGGCGGCCUUCUGGACAGCAACUGACGCUGAGACGCGAAAGCGUGGGGAGCAAACGGG